rnacentral:rRNA from 1 species
GUUUGAUCCUGGCUCAAGAACGAACSCYGGCMGGCGCGUCUUAAAGCAUGCAAGUCGGGCGGCAGCCGCAGCGAUGCGGCGAGAGCGGCGGACGGGUGAGUAACGCGUGGACAACCGACCCUCCGGACGGGGAUAGCCGCGGGAAACUGCGGAUAAUACCGGAUACGACCCGGGGAGCGAAGGCGCUUCCGGGGGAAAGCCGCUGCGGCGGCGCCGGGGGACGGGUCUGCGUCCCAUCAGCUAGACGGCGGGGUGAAGGCCCACCGUGGCGACGACGGGUAGCCGGCCUGAGAGGGUGGACGGCCACAUUGGGACUGAGAACGGCCCAGACUCCUACGGGAGGCAGCAGCUAAGGAUCUUCCGCAAUGGGCGAAAGCCUGACGGAGCGACGCCGCGUGGACGAUGGAGGCCGUGAGGUUGUAAAGUCCUUUUCCGUGGGGUGAAGAACCGUGCCAGGGAAUGGGUGCGGGGUGACGUGACCACGGGAAUAAGCCCCGGCUAACUACGUGCCAGCAGCCGCGGUAACACGUAGGGGGCGAGCGUUGUUCGGAAUCAUUGGGCGUAAAGGGCGCGCAGGCGGCUGCGGGAGCCCGGCGUGAAAUCCACAGGCCCAACCUGUGGGGGUCGCCGGGGACUCCGCGGCUGGAGUCCAGGAAGCGGUUCAGGAAUUCCCGGUGUAGGGGUGAAAUCUGUAGAUAUCGGGAAGAACACCAAUGGCGAAGGCGUGGGCCGGGCCAUGGACUGACGCUGAGGCGCGWWKGUUUYKKGAGSGAACAGGUUUAGAUACCCUGGUAGUCCGCMCAGGCCCCCUUCACCAGGUGGCGGGGGGCUGACCCCCGUACCGGAGCGAACGCAGUAAGU